rnacentral:rRNA from 1 species
AUGAACGCUAGCGGCAGGCUUAACACAUGCAAGUCGAGGGGCAGCAUAAUGGAUAGCAAUAUCUAUGGUGGCGACCGGCGCACGGGUGCGUAACGCGUAUGCAACCUACCUUUAACAGGGGGAUAACACUGAGAAAUUGGUACUAAUACCCCAUAAUAUCAUAGAAGGCAUCUUUUAUGGUUGAAAAUUCCGAUGGUUAGAGAUGGGCAUGCGUUGUAUUAGCUAGUUGGUGGGGUAACGGCUCACCAAGGCGACGAUACAUAGGGGGACUGAGAGGUUAACCCCCCACACUGGUACUGAGACACGGACCAGACUCCUACGGGAGGCAGCAGUGAGGAAUAUUGGUCAAUGGACGCAAGUCUGAACCAGCCAUGCCGCGUGCAGGAUGACGGCUCUAUGAGUUGUAAACUGCUUUUGUACGAGGGUAAACGCAGAUACGUGUAUCUGUCUGAAAGUAUCGUACGAAUAAGGAUCGGCUAACUCCGUGCCAGCAGCCGCGGUAAUACGGAGGAUUCAAGCGUUAUCCGGAUUUAUUGGGUUUAAAGGGUGCGUAGGCGGUUUGAUAAGUUAGAGGUGAAAUUUCGGGGCUCAACCCUGAACGUGCCUCUAAUACUGUUGAGCUAGAGAGUAGUUGCGGUAGGCGGAAUGUAUGGUGUAGCGGUGAAAUGCUUAGAGAUCAUACAGAACACCGAUUGCGAAGGCAGCUUACCAAACUAUAUCUGACGUUGAGGCACGAAAGCGUGGGGAGCAAACAGGAUUAGAUACCCUGGUAGUCCACGCAGUAAACGAUGAUAACUCGUUGUCGGCGAUACACAGUCGGUGACUAAGCGAAAGCGAUAAGUUAUCCACCUGGGGAGUACGUUCGCAAGAAUGAAACUCAAAGGAAUUGACGGGGGCCCGCACAAGCGGUGGAGCAUGUGGUUUAAUUCGAAGCAACGCGAAGAACCUUACCAGGUCUUGACAUCGAUCUAAAGGCUCCAGAGAUGGAGAGAUAGCUAUAGAGAAGACAGGUGGUGCAUGGUUGUCGUCAGCUCGUGCCGUGAGGUGUCGGGUUAAGUCCCAUAACGAGCGCAACCCCUACCGUUAGUUGCCAUCAGGUGAAGCUGGGCACUCUGGCGGGACUGCCGGUGUAAGCCGAGAGGAAGGUGGGGAUGACGUCAAAUCAGCACGGCCCUUACGUCCGGGGCUACACACGUGUUACAAUGGUAGGUACAGAGGGCAGCUACCCAGCGAUGGGAUGCGAAUCUCGAAAGCCUAUCUCAGUUCGGAUUGGAGGCUGAAACCCGCCUCCAUGAAGUUGGAUUCGCUAGUAAUCGCGCAUCAGCCAUGGCGCGGUGAAUACGUUCCCGGGCCUUGUACACACCGCCCGUCAAGCCAUGGGAGCCGGGGGUGCCUGAAGUUCGUGACCGCAAGGAGCGACCUAGGGCAAAACUGGUGACUGGGGCU